ACCUGGCUGGCUCACUUGGGAGAGCAUGUGACUCUUGAUCUCAGGGUCAUGAGUUUGAGCCCCAUACUGGGUA
rnacentral:tRNA from 1 species